CCGGGUGUAGCUCAGGAGCAGAGCACGUGGCCGACUACCACGUUGUCACUGGUGCGAUUCCAGUCACUCGGA
rnacentral:tRNA from 1 species